rnacentral:rRNA from 1 species
GUCCACGCCUUAAACUAUGAAUACUUGGUGUUGGAGGUAUUGACCCCUUCAGUGCCGAAGCUAACGCGUUAAGUAUUCCGCCUGGGAAGUACGGUCGCAAGAUUAAAACUCAAAGAAAUUGACGGGGGCCCCGCACAAGCGGUGGAGCAUGUGGUUCAAUUCGAUGCAACGCGAAGAACCUUACCUAGAUUUGACAUGUAUUGGAAGACUCGUAGAAAUACGGUCGCUCGCAAGAGCCGAUACACAGGUGCUGCAUGGCUGUCGU